rnacentral:rRNA from 1 species
AGAGUUUGAUCAUGGCUCAGAACGAACGCUGGCGGCAGGCCUCAAACAUGCAAGUCUAGGGGGUGUAGCAAUACAUCACCGGCGGACGGGUGCGUAACACGUGGGAAUGUACUUGGUGGUUCGGAACAACUCAGGGAAACUUGAGCUAAUACCGAAUGAGCCCGAAAGGGGAAAGAUUCAUCGCCAUCAAAUCAGCCCGCGUUCGAUUAGCUAGUUGGUGAGGUAACGGCUCACCAAGGCUCCGAUCGAUAGCUGUUCUGAGAGGAAGAUCAGCCACACUGGGACUGAGACACGGCCCAGACUCCUACGGGAGGCAGCAGUUGGGAAUCUUGGACAAUGGGGGAAACCCUGAUCCAGCCAUGCCGCGUGAGUGAUGAAGGCCUUCGGGUUGUAAAGCUCUUUUACCCGGGAAGAUAAUGACUGUACCGGGAGAAUAAGCUCCGGCUAACUUCGUGCCAGCAGCCGCGGUAAUACGAAGGGGGCUAGCGUUGUUCGGAAUUACUGGGCGUAAAGCGUGCGCAGGCGGCUAUCCAAGUCAGUGGUGAAAGCCCGGAGCUCAACUCCGGAAUUGCCAUUGAAACUGUUUAGCUUGAGGACGAGAGAGGUGAGUGGAAUUCCCAGUGUAGAGGUGAAAUUCGUAGAUAUUGGGAAGAACACCGGUGGCGAAGGCGGCUCACUGGCUCGUUUCUGACGCUCAGGCACGACAGCGUGGGGAUCAAACAGGAUUAGAUACCCUAGUAGUCC